rnacentral:rRNA from 1 species
AGUGGGGAAUAUUGGACAAUGGGCGCAAGCCUGAUCCAGCCAUGCCGCGUGAGUGAUGAAGGCCCUAGGGUUGUAAAGCUCUUUCACCGGAGAAGAUAAUGACGGUAUCCGGAGAAGAAGCCCCGGCUAACUUCGUGCCAGCAGCCGCGGUAAUACGAAGGGGGCUAGCGUUGUUCGGAAUUACUGGGCGUAAAGCGCACGUAGGCGGACAUUUAAGUCAGGGGUGAAAUCCCAGAGCUCAACUCUGGAACUGCCUUUGAUACUGGGUGUCUGGAGUAUGGAAGAGGUGAGUGGAAUUCCGAGUGUAGAGGUGAAAUUCGUAGAUAUUCGGAGGAACACCAGUGGCGAAGGCGGCUCACUGGUCCAUUACUGACGCUGAGGUGCGAAAGCGUGGGGAGCAAA